UACGAGGGGGGCGAGCGUUGUUCGGAAUUAUUGGGCGUAAAGGGUGCGUAGGCGGUUCCGCAAGUCCUGUGUGAAAUCUUCGGGCUCAACUCGAAGUCUGCACGGGAAACUGCGGGGCUUGAGUGUGGGAGAGGUGAGUGGAAUUCCCGGUGUAGCGGUGAAAUGCGUAGAUAUCGGGAAGAACACCCGUGGCGAAGGCGGCACUCUGGGACGGUACUGACGCUGAGACGCGAAAGCGUGGGGAGCGAACAGG
rnacentral:rRNA from 1 species